GACGAACGCUGGCGGCGUGCUUAUCACAUGCAAGUCGAACGAGGAAGCUAGAGCUUGCUCUGGUGGAUUAGUGGCGAACGGGUGAGUAACACGUGAGUAACCUGCCCCGAACUCUGGGAUAACUGCUGGAAACGGUAGCUAAUACCGGAUAUUUUCCUUGGUGGGCAUCCACUGGGGAAGAAAGAAUUUCGCUCAAGGAUGAUCUCGCGGCCUAUCAGCUAGUUGGUGAGGUAAUGGCUCACCAAGGCGACGACGGGUAGCCGGCCUGAGAGGGUGACCGGCCACACUGGGACUGAGACACGGCCCAGACUCCUACGGGAGGCAGCAGUGGGGAAUAUUGCACAAUGGGCGCAAGCCUGAUGCAGCAACGCCGCGUGAGGGAUGACGGCCUUCGGGUUGUAAACCUCUUUUAGUAGGGAAGAAGCGAAAGUGACGGUACCUGCAGAAAAAGCACCGGCUAACUACGUGCCAGCAGCCGCCGUAA
rnacentral:rRNA from 1 species